rnacentral:lncRNA from 1 species
AGUCCACUUUAGCUUAAAAGACUGGCCAAAUGUGAAUAAGUAUCCCUUUAUCCCUAUUUUGAGCCUAAGUUGACCUAGUAUAUUGGUUUUAACCCUUUCACCUUCCCAUUUAAUUAUAUAGAACCUAUUUUGGCCAUGUUCCCUCCUUGGACACUAUACACCUCAACUCAGGCAAGUUUCCUAAGAUGAGGGUGGCUAUCAUAAGGGUGCUUAGUUGAAAAUGGUGUGAAUAAUAGUG